CUCCAUGUGGCCACCAGCAAAUUGCCUCGGUUUGGUUAAUCUCUCUGAGCUUCAGUUUUCUUAUCCGAACAAUGAGGAGAAUGCUACCUACCUCCGGGAGUAGUUUUGGGGUUAAAUGAAAGCAAGGAAGUGAGAGGAGCUGACACAGAUUAGGGCUCAGUACAUGCUUGGUAAUGUCCCUGGGGGUCAGAUUUUUCCUGUUCCAGAUCAGGAAAUAUAACUGGGCCUGCCCUGGGGCCCGCUGGGCCUGUUUACCUUGGUUGUGACCUGAAUGCUCGACCAAAGCAACAACAGCAACGUUCUUCUGUGUUGUUUGGAAAGGAGGUUUGACACAGAGUUGGUCAGAGGGGCGCCCUUGGCGGGGCUGGGUGGCAGGGUUCACUGACCAUGGAGGGAGGAGCGAGGCAUGAGUGCUGGCUGGACUCUAGGGGGUGUCCGAGCCUGCAGGCCCUGCAGGCUGCUUAAUGGAAGCUUUGGGUGUGGCCCGCCUCCUCGCUGUCAACUUGGCGGCUCCUUUAUCUGCCUACUGUCCAGGAGGAGUCAAGUGUAAACCAGCGGUCCAGGGGAAUGGGUUGUCAGGUCACUGAAUCAAUGCUACAGUUAAUCUGUUAAAAACAGCAAGGCUCCCCAUUUGUAAACAUCUCCUUGAUAAGCCCUUUGUAGCAUAUACAACCUAGGAAAAUGAAUGGCUUCCCACCAGCUGCCCUGGAAUCACUGUCUCCCUGUGCUUGUCCAGAUGCCCUCCCAACUCAGCUCGGCCCAGCCCAGCCUAGCCCAACCCAAUUCUACACACGUGGACCCAGCUGAGCAGAGCUCGGAGCGAUUUCCAAGGAGGAGAAGGUGGGAACCUCCAUCUUUAAAAAGCCCAGAGAAUCGGGGAAUGAAGUAAUUCCAGGAGUCUUCCCAGUGUAAGGGUGUGAUUGUGGGCUGAAAACUCAGGCAACCAUGAGCUUGGAACCUGGUUCUCAAGCUCAAUGCUGUGUGGCUUUGGUAAGUUAAUGAGUCACAUGCUGUAUGUGUUUGACUUCUGUAGAUUUAACUCCACAAUCUUGGGAAAAGAGCACAAGAAGAGAGAUGACUAUCAACCACAUGGGUGACAUUGCCUGCCAUCUGUUCAGUGAGCACGCAUCCUGGAAUGAGAGACUCGGAGUGGAAAUUUCACCAUCAGCUUCCCAGUUCUCAGGCCUUCAGACUCGGACUGAAUUACACCCCCGGCACCCCAGGUCUCCAGCGUGCAGACAGCAGAUCAUGGGACUUCUUGGCCUCCAUAAUCAGGCAUGUGGAACGGAGCAGCUUGUCAGCGUGCACUUGUUGAGCUGACUUAUAUCCAUUUGCACAUGUUCUGUGCAUUUUCUGAAACACUCAGAAUCCUCCUGACGGUGCUUCCCUUCUCCGGACAAUGGCCAAGUGACCCCAGCGCACAGGUGAAUCUCCUGCC